CUACGGGGCGCACCAGUGAGGAAUAUUGCACAAUGGAGGAAACUCUGAUGCAGCAACGCCGCGUGGAGGAUGACGCAUUUCGGUGUGUAAACUCCUUUUAUAUGUCAAGAAAAUGACGGUAGCAUAUGAAUAAGCUCCGGCUAACUCCGUGCCAGCAGCCGCGGUAAUACGGAGGGAGCAAGCGCUACUCGGAAUCACUGGGCGUAAAGGACGCGUAGGCGGGAUAGAAAGUCAGGUGUGAAAUCCUAUGGCUCAACCAUAGAACUGCACUUGAAACUUCUAACCUAGAGUAUGGGAGGGGAAGAUGGAAUUAGUGGUGUAGGGGUAAUAUCCGUAGAUAUCACUAGGAAUACCAAAAGCGAAGGCGAUCUUCUGGAACAAUACUGACGCUAAGGCGUGAAAGCGUGGGGAGCAAACAGGAUUAGAUACCCCCGUAGUC
rnacentral:rRNA from 1 species